rnacentral:rRNA from 1 species
UACGUAGGCAGCGAGCGUUGUUCGGAGUUACUGGGCGUAAAGAGUGCGUAGGCGGUUUUCUAAGUUUGGUGUGAAAUCUCCCGGCUUAACUGGGAGGGUGCGCCGAAGACUGGAAGGCUUGAGUAUGGGAGAGGUAAGCGGAAUUCUUGGUGUAGCGGUGAAAUGCGUAGAUAUCAAGAGGAACACCUGCGGCGAAGGCGGGUUGCUGGGCCGACACUGACGCUGAGGCGCGAAAGCUAGGGGAGCGAACGGG